AUAAUAAAUCUUUUUUUUGUAAUUGGUAAAUUGUUAGAAAAAUAAAAUUCAAAUGUUGGCAUCAAAUCAUCUUUGCUGUGGAUUAGGGCAUCUAUGUGCCCUGUCAGUUCCUGGUGUUGAUGAAGCACCAGCUGGAUGACCUUCCCCUCACCUUCUCAGCAGCAUGGGCUGCAACAGUCUUCUUGCAGAAGCUGGUCUGUGCUCAGAGAGGACUGGCUGUCCACCAGAAGGAGUUUGUCAAGUUCAUUGCUGUUAACUAAUCGACAAAGGCCAAUGGGAUUUUGUUCUUUUUUAAUAUUCUACUAGGUUAUCAGGUCUCAAUCUUCUUGGCUUUGCCUCUUAGUUUUGUUCCCAAAUCCAAUUGGUAAAGAUGUCUAUUCAGACUUAAUUAAACUCUUAAGGAACUAGCUGUACUAUGAUUUUCUUUUCCUAUUGUUUGUCUCUGAAUGUCAGCAAAGCAUAAACAUUUAAGUAAGAUAUCAUUCAUCAUUCAAUUUGUAUAGAGCUACAAGAUCCCAAGUACAAUAAUGGAUGCAAAAAUAAAUAGGGCCCAAUCCUCGCUUCUGAGGAGACCAAAAUCUAGAGGGAAAAAGAGGUUUACCGACUAAUUCAACACACUGUUAUAAGCCCAGUAAUGGUCAAAGGGUUGUGGGAACACUGAGCCGAGACCAAUGAGGUCUGAAGGCAGAAAUGAGCUUUGAAGGAGAGAAGGUGCUUGCUGAAAUAAGAAACUACAGGAGAUUCUGCCUCCCACAAUGACGCCUGCUCCAUUCAAUGUGACACAGAACAAGAGUCACCUUCUGCUCACCCUGAGGCUGAACAGUGACACAGGUCAAAUAAGGACACGUUCUUGGAAUGCUCCAUUGGUUAAGAGCAGAGACUCUGAAUCCAGACUGUAGGUCCAUCACCUAGAAUCUGUGCAAACUUUGACAAGUGACUCGACUCCUCUGAGCCUUGGUCUCCUUAUCUACAAAUCUCAUAGCACUGCUGUGAGGAUGCAGCCAGGUGGUAGAUGAAGAGUUCUGGGAGCAGUGCCGGCACAUGAGCUGCCUGGCACACGAACAUUAGCUGUGUUUAGUAUCUACACUGCCUUGAACAGCAAAGUUUCCCACAGUAAAAGAACAUCCUCUGCAGGACACUAGUGUGGGAUGUAAAAGGUUAAAAGUCUUAGAGAAUGGACUGCUGUAAGGCUAGUGAGUCAGCACUUUUCCUUAUUUACUCCCUGUCCACUCAGAAAUACGAAUUAACAUGCUCAGAGGAAGAGAUCCGAGAUGAAUUUGAAUGACCAGGAAAACAACCAACAUUCUUGAUACAGAGGCAAUUUCCUCGUUCAAGUUCUACUUUAUAACAACCAGGACUUGUACUCUAUUUAUGAUCACAAUAGCCUUAAUAAGAAGAAUUUCCCAGCUUCUGAAUUCCUGGAACAUAUCUGAAGGCCACAGAAGAUCAGAUACGCCAGUUCCUUCACAAAGGAGGCGGCGAAUACUAAGGUCACUAAAGUCUGGGCCUCAAAUUGUGGCACUUAAGCUUUGGGAGCCUCCUCAGUAAUCAUUGAAUCCAGUUUUAAACAUGGAGGGGUUUCUUCCUGGUAAAGUGGUAAGUGCUCCUUUGAAACCUUUACCAUAUGUCAAAACAAUUAUUUGAGAUAAGCUUAAGAACGUAAUUAUACAAAUGUGAAGCAGCAGCAAUAGGAUUCUACCUAAGUACAUGGUAGGCACUCAGUAAAUGCUUCUUCCUGUUUAGUUAUCAAGAGCCCCAUCUGCUGGUCAAAUGGAAAUCAUCUGUAGCCCUGUAGAAAAAUCAUGUGUCCAAAAAUUAGAAAAGAUAAAGGGAAUAACAAAGCUGAAAGAUUACGUACAUAUCAUCUGACACACAUACUUUACAAAUGAAGUUUAUUAUAAUAUCAUAUGUAGUUAACUAGAAGAAAUGAAGAAAGUAAAACAAUUUGUUAAAAUUGUAGUUCACAUAUAGUAAGUCUGAAAAAAUUGACUCUGAGACAAACAAAUAUGAAAUUUUAUAAAAUAAAAAUAAUCCAGUUAUUGAACACACUUCCUGAUUUAAAUUGUUAUCUGCUCUUCUCAGGGAAAAUGGUAAAUUGGGAGUUUGGGUUUGAAGUCAAACCAGUGUUCGAACUGAGUUUCCACCCCUGCUCGCUGUUUCUUGGUUGAGAUGGUUCCCUCUGUAGCUUAAGAUCCUUCAUCCUUAAAGAGUGAGUCACAAUACCCGCUAUGGGGGUGAGCGAUCGUGCAUCAAAGCCGUACCAGCAGUCACAUGGUAGGAACCCCAAAAAUGGAAGAGAAGGAAGGAGGGUAACUGUGGUUGUUGCUAUUAUUUAUGCUGUGGACAAACGAUAGCUUUUCUGCAUGCCCAACAGUGGGCUUACC